UGCCAGCCGCCGCGGUAAUACGGAGGGGGUUAGCGUUGUUCGGAAUUACUGGGCGUAAAGCGCACGUAGGCGGAUUAGUAAGUUAGGGGUGAAAUCCCGGGGCUCAACCCCGGAACUGCCUCUAAUACUGCUAGUCUUGAGUUCGAGAGAGGUGAGUGGAAUUCCGAGUGUAGAGGUGAAAUUCGUAGAUAUUGGAAAGAACACCAGUGGCGAAGGCGACUCACUGGCACAUUUCUGACGCUGAGGCGCGAAAGCGUGGGGAGCAAACAGGAUUAGAUA
rnacentral:rRNA from 1 species